GCGUUGGUGGUGUAAUAGCGUAGAGCAUUCCCGCCCGGUCACUAGAAGGUGCGGGUUCGAGUCCCGCCUAGCGCU
rnacentral:tRNA from 1 species